AUGAAGCUAGCUUAUGAAUUAAUCUUCCUGGGGUUCUUACAGUCUGUUGCAUAUCAGAUGUUUGAUCAAGAGGUCCAGGCUCUGUUUGAGGUGAAGAUGCUGCUUAAUGACAGUCGUGGUGUCCUAGAAGACUGGAAUCGCCAUCUAGAUACUGCAUGUAGUACUAUUGCUAUUGUCAUGUGUGAUCCUGACGGCAACGUGGUCGAAAUUUUGUCCACAAAAUCCAGUGAGCCUUGCAGAUCAAGAAAAUCCACCAUAAAGGUGGUUCUCGGAAGCAUUGGUGGAGCAAUAGUUGUUGUUGCUAUGUUUGCUCUAAUCUUGCGAAGCAUGCCUUGCCGAUGGUAUUGCAUGGCACAAGGGAGUGCUUCUUGGUUUAGAAAAAUAAUGAAAAUUGCUCUUGGCACUGCCCUUGGUUUGGGAUACCUUCAUGAUAACUGUAACUCCCUGAUUAUCCACGGUAAUAUCAAGGUUGUCAAUGUCCCGCUCGAUGGAAAUUUUGAAGUUGUGCUAGGAUACUUUGGACUGCCAAAGUUAAUGGACCAAGGGAAGGAAAUAAUGACGAUAGAGAGAUCCAGGGAACAUUGGGCUACAUGGCUCUAG
rnacentral:rRNA from 1 species